rnacentral:rRNA from 1 species
GAUGAACGCUGGCGGCGUGCCUAAUACAUGCAAGUCGAGCGAACAGACGAGGAGCUUGCUCCUCUGACGUUAGCGGCGGACGGGUGAGUAACACGUGGAUAACCUACCUAUAAGACUGGGAUAACUUCGGGAAACCGGAGCUAAUACCGGAUAAUAUAUUGAACCGCAUGGUUCAAUAGUGAAAGACGGUUUUGCUGUCACUUAUAGAUGGAUCCGCGCCGCAUUAGCUAGUUGGUAAGGUAACGGCUUACCAAGGCAACGAUGCGUAGCCGACCUGAGAGGGUGAUCGGCCACACGGGAACUGAGACACGGUCCAGACGCCUACGGGAGGCAGCAGUAGGGAAUCUUCCGCAACGGGCGAAAGCCUGACGGAGCAACGCCGCGUGAGUGAUGAAGGUCUUCGGAUCGUAAAACUCUGUUAUUAGGGAAGAACAAAUGUGUAAGUAACUAUGCACGUCUUGACGGUACCUAAUCAGAAAGCCACGGCUAACUACGUG